UAGAUGAAUUUGGUGCUUGCACCAGAUGAAACUAGAUACAAGCGAGCGGCGGACGGGUGAGUAACACGUGGGUAACCUGCCCAAGAGACUGGGAUAACACCUGGAAACAGAUGCUAAUACCGGAUAACAACACUAGACGCAUGUCUAGAGUUUAAAAGAUGGUUCUGCUAUCACUCUUGGAUGGACCUGCGGUGCAUUAGCUAGUUGGUAAGGUAACGGCUUACCAAGGCAAUGAUGCAUAGCCGAGUUGAGAGACUGAUCGGCCACAUUGGGACUGAGACACGGCCCAAACUCCUACGGGAGGCAGCAGUAGGGAAUCUUCCACAAUGGACGCAAGUCUGAUGGAGCAACGCCGCGUGAGUGAAGAAGGGUUUCGGCUCGUAAAGCUCUGUUGGUAGUGAAGAAAGAUAGAGGUAGUAACUGGCCUUUAUUUGACGGUAAUUACUUAGAAAGUCACGGCUAACUACGUGCCAGCAGCCGCGGUAAUACGUAGGUGGCAAGCGUUGUCAGGAUUUAUUGGGCGUAAAGCGAGUGCAGGCGGUUCAAUAAGUCUGAUGUGAAAGCCUUCGGCUCAACCGGAGAAUUGCAUCAGAAACUGUUGAACUUGAGUGCAGAAGAGGAGAGUGGAACUCCAUGUGUAGCGGUGGAAUGCGUAGAUAUAUGGAAGAAC
rnacentral:rRNA from 1 species